CACGCCAUGCUCUUCCUCUUGCCCAUGAUUCUUUGCCUAAGGAUAUUGACCCGUGACGCGAGCAAUGAGUCCGGUAGUUUGGCCAAGCUCAUAUGGCAACCGUACCAUGCCAACAAGGCGAGGAUCGUAUCUCCGAGAUGCCGUAGCACACAGACUCAGUGAUAAGAAUCGUGUAAGGGGUUCUCAAAUCAAAUACAAAAAUGGAAGUUUAAUUAUUCUAUUUCUUUAAGGUUUUAUGUCAUGAAAUCAUUUAGAUGGGUAAUGUAAAUGAACCAUAUAACUAUGUAGACCUAUUCAUAAUAGAUUGAUACUAAAAUAACAGAUCCAAAUUAUAAGAAAUCAUGCGGAAGCUACAAAUGCUGACUUUGUACCCUUCCAUAUCGAUACAACAUACAUGAUAGUUCGAGUAUUUCCUGCUGAAAAAUGGUAGAGCACUAUAGCUGUCAUAAUAAUAAGCCUGGUCAUAGCAACUCGUAGCAUAUUUCCCCAUGCCUCCUACUCCUAAAUCAUGUGUUUGAUGUAGGCCUUGUCAAGCAGGAGAUCUAUAUAUGAAUACGCGCACUCUCGCAUAGAGGUCUCUUAUACUUCAAGCAAGCAAAAUGUUGUGUACUUUUUAGUUUUGGACAAAUAAAUAUGGAUGUAGGUGGAGAAAUAAAAAGCUAUAUAAAGCAAGUGGAGCAUAAAGGCAGCUAUACAAUGUAGUAGUAGGUACAUAAUGUCACUCCUUCCAUCCAAAGUUAGGGAUAUUUCAUUUUCUUUAGGUUUUUCCAAAAGAGAUGGUAAUAUUGUAGUCUCCACAUGCUAAAUUUAUUAUUGACUGGAACCCAAUAAGAAAUUUUAGUACUUAUUGGUUGCAUUCAUGCAUAUAGUUUCUUGGUUUUUCUACAUGGGAGAUGAGUUAAUUAUAUUCCUCAGUUUUAGUGACAAAAGAAGUAUGUUUAUAUUUUUUUAAUGGAGAGAGUACCAUCAGACCCUGUUAUUAAAGGAACACUGCUUGCAUCUUAUGCUUCACAUAUAAAAGAAGAAAGGGAUGAGAUACGAUGCAGAGGUCGAGAACUACAGAAUUGUCAAAGAGAAACCAGUUUAUAAUUUUCACUUUGUACUCCAUGCUCUAAUUCUGUUCUAUGAUAAGUACUAAUUUACUUGUGCUGGGUUCAUUUUUUUUUCAAAAAGAUACUAUGAUGAUCACAUAAGCAGGCUUGAGAAGUGUUGGGAUUUGUUAUUUCUGGUGCAAAAGUUGUUUAUGCUCUUCUGAGCAAAGCUUAUGCUCUUUUUUGUACACGCAUCCUUUCAACGGGGGAUUCCAUGUUUAGUUUUCCCAUCAAUGGCCUGUGAUAUAAGCAUGUUGAGGUUAAAGGAAGAGAGAAAAUAUUGAAGUGCAUGUCCAACAACAGCAAGAGACUAGGAAAUAUCCAAAGAAGAUCAGUAUGGAAUUGGAAUUCAAAUUCCAAUUCCGUUUGCACAGAUUUAUUAAUGAAUAUUCUCAACUAAUCAUUUGAUCUCUUCUCCCUGGUUCUUAUCUGGUGGAAAUUUCAUUGUCGAAUAUAUAUGAUGGUGCUAGUGCAGUGCAAUUUCAUCUCUUAGCAACUGCGGCUAUAAAAUGAUUAUGCUCCAUUUCACCAAAGUGUUUAGUUGUAUCAUUGUUGAAAUUGCAGCAACUGAUCGAGUUGUUCACAUGGAUUACAUAUACAAGGACCGUGCUUUAUAGCUUUGUCACGAUCUAUUCAACUGUUCAAGCCGGGGACGCUAGAUAGAAAUGGGUUCUAGACAGUCCAUGAUCCUAAGGCAAACCCAGCAUCCUCACUGGCAGCUGGAAAUUUGGGUUGCCUAUAAAAAGGAAAUCAUUUUCUAAAUAAUGUUGGGUUCCUACAUAAUAAACACAAGAGUACCAUCGUGCUAAUUAACGGUGUGUGACAUUAUGUAAUUUGUAGACUGAAUAUAUACUUAACAGCACAUUCUACACUCUUGUAUAAGUUUGUUUCUAAGAUAAACAGACUAUCUACAUAACAUGCAAGAGAUCACUAAUCACUAAA